rnacentral:rRNA from 1 species
AACGAACGCUGGCGGCAUGCCUAACACAUGCAAGUCGAACGAGACCUUCGGGCCUAGUGGCGCACGGGUGCGUAACGCGUGGGAACCUGCCCUUAGGUUCGGAAUAACUCCCCGAAAGGGGUGCUAAUACCGGAUAAUGUCUUCGGACCAAAGAUUUAUCGCCUUUGGAUGGGCCCGCGUUGGAUUAGCUAGUUGGUAGGGUAAAAGCCUACCAAGGCGACGAUCCAUAGCUGGUAUGAGAGGAUGAUCAGCCACACUGGGACUGAGACACGGCCCAGACUCCUACGGGAGGCAGCAGUGGGGAAUAUUGGACAAUGGGCGAAAGCCUGAUCCAGCAAUGCCGCGUGAGUGAUGAAGGCCUUAGGGUUGUAAAGCUCUUUUACCCGGGAUGAUAAUGACAGUACCGGGAGAAUAAGCGCCGGCUAACUCCGUG